UUCUUGUGUUACCUGGUCUGGCAGGUCGGACGAGCCCGCAGGGCAGAUGCAGAUCUGGGAGCCUUACUCUUGGACAGAUGUGCGCACUCCCAGGAUCGCCUCCUUGCCAGAAGAUGCUGUUGGAUAAGGCUCCUUACUCUUGGCCGUUGCAGAUACGCUUCUCCUUGGGGGCAUCGCCAUGGGGGAACCGCGGGGAUCAGAUCAUCGUUGAAAGUGAGGAGGUGAUCAGGUGCAUGUGUCGAACAGAAGCAUCACGGUGACGUGGAGUUCGGCGAGGCGCUACGGAGGGACUUCGCCGUCAGCACGGCCUGGGGGUGG